UGGCUGAGCGGUAAAGCGCUUGACUCCCGAACCGAAGGUCCCGGGUUCGAAUCCCGG
rfam:Biomphalaria glabrata isolate BB02 unplaced genomic scaffold LGTN_random_Scaffold2782, whole genome shotgun sequence.